rnacentral:rRNA from 1 species
AGUGAACGCUGGCGGUAGGCCUAACACAUGCCAGUCGAACGGCAGCACAGUAAGAGCUUGCUCUUACGGGUGGCGAGUGGCGGACGGGUGAGGAAUACAUCGGAAUCUACUUUUUCGUGGGGGAUAACGUAGGGAAACUUACGCUAAUACCACAUACGACCUACGGGUGAAAGUAGGGGAUCUUCGGACCUUGCGCGAUUGAAUGAGCCGAUGUCGGAUUAGCUAGUUGGCGGGGUAAAGGCCCACCAAGGCGACGAUCCGUAGCUGGUCUGAGAGGAUGAUCAGCCACACUGGAACUGAGACACGGUCCAGACUCCUACGGGAGGCAGCAGUGGGGAAUAUUGGACAAUGGGCGCAAGCCUGAUCCAGCCAUACCGCGUGGGUGAAGAAGGCCUUCGGGUUGUAAAGCCCUUUUGUUGGGAAAGAAAAGCAGCAGGUUAAUACCCCGCUGUUCUGACGGUACCCAAAGAAUAAGCACCGGCUAACUUCGUG